AGUCACUGACAUUAGAUACCCGCGUAGUCCUAGCCGUAAACGAUACUCGCUAGGUGUCGGCCACGGUGCGACCGUUGUCGGUGCCGUAGGGAAGCCGUGAAGCGAGCCACCUGGGAAGUACGGCCGCAAGGCUGAAACUUAAGGAAUUGGCGGGGGAGCACCACAACGGGUGGAGCUUGCGGUUUAAUUGGACUCAACGCCGGGAAGCUCACCGGAUAAGACAGCGGAAUGAUUGCCGGGCUGAAGACCCUGCAUGACCAGCUG
rnacentral:rRNA from 1 species